GAUUAACGCUGGCGGCGUGCAUAACACAUGCAAGUCGAACGAUGAAACUAAGUAGACUUCUUCGGAAAGACACUAAGCGGAUUAUUGGCAAAAGGGUGAGUAACUCGCGAGUAACCUGCCUUACCCAAGGGGAUAGCCAUUGGAAACGAAGAAUAAUACCCAAUCAAAUCAUAAAAUCACAUACUACAAUGGUCAUGGUGAUAACGGUGUAAGCUGGACUUGCGUCUGUUUAGCUAGUUGGUGAGAUAAAAGCACACCAAGGCAACGAUCAGUAGCCGGCUUGGGGGAGUGGACGGCCACAUUGGGACUGAGACACGGACCAGACCCCUACCGGAGGCAGCAGUGGUGAAGUUUGCACAAUGGGGGAAACCCUGAUGCAGCGGCGCCGCGUGAUUUAGAAAGCCUUCGAGUUGUAAUGAUCUUUUGUAUAGGAAGAAAAUGACAGUACUAUACGAAUAAGGUCCGGCUAAGUACGUG
rnacentral:rRNA from 1 species